GAUGGCGUCGCCAAUCUCCAAUGGCCACGUGUAUGCUCGUAGCUAUAACCUGAAAUCCAAAUGUUAUUGCUUGAGAAUACACGUAGUUCACCGAGAUUUGUUCAGCAAUC
rnacentral:pre_miRNA from 1 species